rnacentral:rRNA from 1 species
CGGCCGCGGUAUCUUGACCGUGCAAAGGUAGCAUAAUCACUUGUUCCUUAAAUGGGGACUGGAAUGAAUGGCUGAACGAGGACCCAACUGUCUCUUAUUUUUAANUCAGUGAAAUUGACCUUCCAGUGAAGAGGCUGGAAUUAUACAAUAAGACGAGAAGACCCUAUGGAGCUUAAAUUAAAAGCUUAACUCACACUUUCAAAUCCCACGGGCAUAAACAUAGAACAAUAAGCUUAAAAUUUCGGUUGGGGUGACCUCGGAGAACAAAAAACCCUCCGAAUGAUUAUAGCAAAGACCCACAAGUCAAAGCAACACCCACAUCUUAUUGACCCAAAACAUUUUGAUCAACGGACCAAGUUACCCUAGGGAUAACAGCGCAAUCCUAUUCCAGAGUCCAUAUCGAAAAUAGGGUUUACGACCUCGAUGUUGGAUCAGGACAUCCCAAUGGCGCA